UACGUAGGGUGCGAGCGUUAAUCGGAAUUACUGGGCGUAAAGCGUGCGCAGGCGGUCAGUUAAGUCUGAUGUGAAAGCCCCGGGCUCAACCUGGGAAUGGCGUUGGAAACUGGCAUGCUAGAGUGUGGCAGAGGGGGGUGGAAUUCCGCGUGUAGCAGUGAAAUGCGUAGAGAUGCGGAGGAACACCGAUGGCGAAGGCGGCCACCUGGGCUGUCCCUGACGCUCAAACACGAAAGCUAGGGGAGCGAACGGG
rnacentral:rRNA from 1 species